GGAAAAUUCAUCACAAUCUUCUCUUCUCUCUCCUCUUCUCUUCUCUCUCCCCCUCCAAAAAACUAUGCAAUUCGAGGCUAGUUUUUUCAUUAACAACCGAUUCCCUUUUCCUUCUCCGGCACGGCGGCCGGGACUUGCUAGUCCUUCGCCAUCAACCACCGUUUCAUCCUAUGAGACUCCUCUCAUCCCCUUCACCGUCUCCUCUUCCCUUCGAUAAUCGUAAUAAUAAUGGCGUCCUCCCUGUGUUAUCCUCUCGUUUGAUUUCAUCCCAUUCUCCUGCUUCUUCUCCUUCUCCUUCUCUGUUUGAGUUGUUAUUAACAGAUCCAACUUCUAAACCUACUGUCAUUCUCCCUGUUCUUCCUCCUAUUGCUGACGGUGUUUCUGAUUUUGCGACUAUCUGGUUUGUUUUUGGCAUUCUUCUUCUUUCUCUUUUCGCUUUCGCUUUUAUUUUCCAUCUCCGGAUUAGAUCUCGUCAAUUGCCUCAUUUACAGAAUUUUAAUUCUCUUUGGGCUGUGCGAUUGCUUCUCGUCUUAUUCGCUGCACUUUGGGCUGUUAAUGAAGUCAUUCGUUUACCGUUUAUUCGCCAGAAAUAUCUUUAUCCGUUUUUGCCGUUGAAUCAACAAGCGGAGAUCUGUAAGGUUCAUGUGGUUCUUUCAUUAGGAUUCUUCGAACCUGGGUUUUUAAUUACUCUUCUUUUCUUGGUGAACGAGUCGAUUAAGACGCAAAAUCCUUUUCGGACUUGGGGGGUUGCGCUUGUUUGUUUAGCUUGUUCCCCGAUUCUACUACUCCAAUCGUUCUUCGUGUUUUUCUCUCCGUUGGAGGCACAGUUACCUACGUUUAUGCACGCCACUUCUUACCUUUCCACGGACCAUUUGGGAAAUAAAUCUGUGCUCUGUACCUAUCCCUUGUUCAGUUGCGUUGUGUUUGGAGUAUUCAGCAUUGCUUAUUCUUUAGCGUUUUUGCUGUCAUGUUGGAGGGUGGUGGCGUUUGUGAUCAACAAGAAGAUUCGAGUACGGUUGAACAUGCUUGCCACAUCGUUCAUGAUAUUGUUGCCGGUGCAGAUUCUUUGCUUAGGAUUGUCCCCAUUGUGGCAGCCGGCAGAGCCUAUACAUGGAUAUGUCGUCCUAGCGAUGGACCUUGCCGUUGCAUGGUGCGUGGUGAUCGGGGAGGUGAUUUUGGUAAUAAGGCCAAUUGCAGAUGCACUAGCUGCAGGUGGAGCAUUUUGCCCAUGGAGUCCUGGAUGCAGGCCAGGGAAGACAUGAAUAAUGGGAAUUUAUAGCGAUGAGCAGAGGCCAUGAAGGACAUCAUGGUCUUGUUCAUAUCGUUGUGUUUUUUUUUUUUCUCAAGAGAUGAGGGAGCCAAUUUUUGACGAUUUCAGUGUGUAAAUGGUUGGUGAUUUGGUUCAUCAAGCAUAGAGAGAGAGGGGUUAUUUAGUAAGUUUAUGAUACGUUUUAUUUAUUACUCCUCGGAGGAAAAAUGUGUCUACAACAUUCGGUUUCAUAUUCAGCACUUUCUUCUUCUGCAUCCCCUCUUCUACAAUUGUACAAAUCUUUUAUUUUUUCUUCUUAU
rnacentral:misc_RNA from 1 species